AUGUUGCAUAAUUUCAGGAUUCUCACAUUUUCAUGACAUCCUUUUAGAAAAUGUAAAAUGACGAGUUUACCACCACCCCAAUGGUCCUGCUGUCAUGACAUGAUUUUAAUACUUAGGUUAAACGUAUUAUAUGACUUGACUUUAUAAUCAGGUUCCGCAUAUAAAUAGGCCAGAGCAUGAGUUUACACUCUUUGCUAUCAAAAACCCACUUCCAAGUUCUAAGAUCUAAAAAAAAAAAAAAAAAAAACAUUUUGUGCUGUUCUUUUUCCCAUGAACUUCAACAGUUGGUGGAGCUCAAAUACUUCUAACUUCAGGUCGAGCCUGAAGCAUGUGAAAAAUGGCUACGAAAGGGUUGUAUCAUUGGAUAUAAUGGUGGCCGGAUCCAGGAUAUCAAGAUGGAGAAUCCUAUGGAGAAGAUUGAAGAAGGAAAAGAAGAAGUAUUUCGGUUGUACUGCUUCGAAUUUAAAGCAGGUCCCUUCCUAUGAUCCUUAUACGUACUCGCAGAAUUUUGAUCAGGGAUUGAUGUGGGCUGACCCAGAUAACCACUUUCGAUCAUUCUCAGCUCGGUUUGCUGUUCCGUCAAGGAUUUUCCAGAAGAGUGAAUUGGUUUGCUGAUGGGAGCUGAAACGAGAAAGAAAACAGUGUGUUUGAGGGUUUUUAAAAGAAGUGAAGUUUUAGAGCCAGUCUUUAAUUGCAUGAGGUUCCAAAAGAAAGUAAGAUUCACUUUUCAUGAAACCCAUUUAGGUAAAGCAUACUUUGCUCAGAACAGACCUUUAUAGCACACUUGAGGUCUCUAUAAUGCAAGUGUCUUCUUUCACAUGCACUCAGCUACCCCAUGAAAAUUCUUAACAGCUCAUCUUAGAGAACUCAGUCCAGAAAAAUGAGGUCCACUAGAAAAUUGAAUGGCUCUGCGGAAGUGCCACAUGUACCCUUGAAAUCUUUUUGCGGGACAAAGAAGUUUAUUCUUGGUAGAGCAUUGUUGUAGUUUGUGGCUCAUAUUGAGUAGACCACAUAUAUAGAGAAAGCAGAUUGAUACCGAGAGUGAAGCGGAGCAGAGUGAGGGAAGCGUAGCUCACCGAGCGGAAUUUUCUAAUACCUCUUGUAUGGUACAGGGGUAUUAUUAGAAUUUUCUAAUGCCUCUUGUAUGGCUAGGGUUAGUCUAAAUACAUCUGAUGUAACCCUAAUUUCAUACUUAGCGAAAAUUCAGCCCCCGCUCUUGUGGAUGUA